rnacentral:tRNA from 1 species
CGGAGCAUGGCUCAGUUUGGUAGAGCGCCUGGUUCGGGACCAGGAGGCCGUGGGUUCAAAUCCCGCUGCUCCGA